rnacentral:rRNA from 1 species
GACGAACGCUGGCGGCGUGGAUUAGGCAUGCAAGUCGAACGGUAUCAUCCUUUCGGGGGUGAGAGAGUGGCGAACUGGUGAGUAACACGUAGGUUAUCUACCCUCAAGACGGGGACAACCCAGGGAAACUUGGGCUAAUACCGGAUGUGAGCAACUUUUAGUUGUUUGAAAGGUGGCGUAAGCUGUCGCUUGGGGAUGAGCCUGCGUCCUAUUAGUUAGUUGGUGAGGUAACGGCUCACCUAGGCAAUGAUAGGUAGGCGGCCUUAACGGGUGGUCGCCCACACUGGGAUUGAGAUACGGCCCAGACUCCUACGGGAGGCAGCAGUCGAGAAUAGUCUACAAUGGUCGGAAGACUGAUAGUGCGACGCCGCGUGAACGAUGAAUCCCUUCGGGGUGUAAAGUUCUUUUAUAUGUGAGCAGUGCUUCUUAUAUUAACAGUAUGGGGAGAGAGAUAUAGCAUAUGAAUAAGCAACGGCUAACUCCGUGCCAGCAGCCGACGGU